ACGGGUGAGGAAUACCUCGGAAUCUACCUUUUCGUGGGGGAUAACGUAGGGAAACUUACGCUAAUACCGCAUAAGAGCUUCGGGUGAAAGCCUAGAGACCUUCGGGCCUGGCGCGGAUAGAUGAGCCGAUGUCGGAUUAGCUUGUUGGCGGGGUAAAAGCCCACCAAGGCGACGAUCCGUAGCUGGUCUGAGAGGAUGAUCAGCCACACUGGAACUGAGACACGGUCCAGACUCCUACGGGAGGCAGCAGUGGGGAAUAUUGGACAAUGGGCGCAAGCCUGAUCCAGCCAUACCGCGUGGGUGAAGAAGGCCUUCGGGUUGUAAAGCCCUUUUGUUGGGAAAGAAAUCCUGCCGGUUAAUAACCAGUAGGGAUGACGGUACCCAAAGAAUAAGCACCGGCUAACUUCGUGCCAGCAGCCGCGGUAAUACGAAGGGUGCAAGCGUUACUCGGAAUUACUGGGCGUAAAGCGUGCGUAGGUGGUUGUUUAAGUCUGCUGUGAAAGCCCUGGGCUCAACCUGGGAAUUGCAGUGGAUACUGGGCGACUAGAGUGUGGUAGAGGAUAGUGGAAUUUCCGG
rnacentral:rRNA from 1 species